GGUAAGCAGGAAAGACAAGAAGGCGGCCUAGAGAUUAAAAUAACAAGAAAAAUAUUAAGUAAUUCUUCAAGAUUAUAGGAAAUAGAGUACCAGAGAGAUCGGGGAUACUGAAACUGAGCCAAGUUCGAAUGGUUUUUUGUCUGAUAAAAAAGAAAAUAGAGAAUCCUGGCUGGUUUUUUGUUUUUGAGAUUUAAGAAGAUCCCAGAGGUUUGACUGCUACAACUUCGGCCAACUUCGACUGUCUUCAGUGUCAUUCCUGCUUUAUGAGCAAGGACAAACCUUGAAAACCAACACUGCUCCAACUUGGCGGGUGGUAGGAAAAGUUGAAUAAAGUGCACAAAGACUAUUUUUUUUUUUUUUUUUUAUACUUUAUUUUUAUUUUAUUGAGAUCUCAAUUCUACUGUUAUUGUGCAUUGUAUUUUUUUUUGAAACUGUAUUGAAAUACAAAGAAAAGUUUUGGCCAACUGA